rnacentral:rRNA from 1 species
AUUGAACGCUGGCGGCAUGCCUCACACAUGCAAGUCGAACGGCAGCACGGGAGCAAUCCUGGUGGCGAGUGGCGAACGGGUGAGUAAAGUAUCGGAACGUGCCCAGUCGUGGGGGAUAACGUAGCGAAAGUUACGCUAAUACCGCAUACGAUCUAUGGAUGAAAGGGGGGGAUCGCAAGACCUCGCGCGAUUGGAGCGGCCGAUAUCAGAUUAGGUAGCUGGUGGGGUAAAGGCUCACCAAGCCGACGGUCUGUAGCUGGUCUGAGAGGACGAACAGCCAGACUGGGACUGAGACACGGCCCAGGCUCCUACGGGAGGCAGCAGUGGGGAAUUUUGGACAAUGGGCGGAAGCCUGAUCCAGCCAUGCCGCGUGCAGGACGAAGGCCUUCGGGUUGUAAGCUGCUUUUGUACGGAACGAAAAGGUUUGGCCUAAUAAGCUGGGCUCAUGACGGUACCGUAAGAAUAAGCACCGGCUAACUACGUGCCAGCCGCCGCCGUAA